rnacentral:rRNA from 1 species
AGUGAACGCUGGCGGUAGGCCUAACACAUGCAAGUCGAACGGCAGCACAGUAAGAUCUUGCUCUUACGGGUGGCGAGUGGCGGACGGGUGAGGAAUACAUCGGAAUCUACUUUUUCGUGGGGGAUAACGUAGGGAAACUUACGCUAAUACCGCAUACGACCUACGGGUGAAAGCAGGGGAUCUUCGGACCUUGCGCGAUUGAAUGGGCCGAUGUCGGAUUAGCUAGUUGGCGAGGUAAAGGCCCACCAAGGCGACGAUCCGUAGCUGGUCUGAGAGGAUGAUCAGCCACACUGGAACUGAGACACGGUCCAGACUCCUACGGGAGGCAGCAGUGGGGAAUAUUGGACAAUGGGCGAAAGCCUGAUCCAGCCAUACCGCGUGGGUGAAGAAGGCCUUCGGGUUGUAAAGCCCUUUUGUUGGGAAAGAAAAGCAGCAGGUUAAUACCCCGCUGUUCUGACGGUACCCAAAGAAUAAGCACCGGCUAACUUCGUG